rnacentral:rRNA from 1 species
CCUACGGGAGGCAGCAGUGAGGAAUAUUGGUCAAUGGGCGAGAGCCUGAACCAGCCAAGUCGCGUGAGGGAGUACUGCCCUAUGGGUUGUAAACCUCUUUUGUCGGGGAGCAAAAGCCGGACGUGUCCGGCUGUGAGAGUACCCGAAGAAAAAGCAGCGGCUAACUCCGUGCCAGCAGCCGCGGUAAUACGGAGGAUGCGAGCGUUAUCCGGAUUUAUUGGGGUUAAAGGGUGCGCAGGCGGAUUUUUAAGUCAGCGGUCAAAUCGUGGGGCUCAACCCCAUCCAGCCGUUGAAACUGGGGAUCUAGAGUGUGCGAGAGGUAUGCGGAAUGCGUGGUGUAGCGGUGAAAUGCAUAGAUAUCACGCAGAACCCCGAUUGCGAAGGCAGCAUACCGGUGCACAACUGACGCUCAGGCACGAACGCGUGGGUAUCGAACAGGAUUAGAUACCCCUGUAGUC